rnacentral:rRNA from 1 species
GGAGAACUCUCCUUCGGGACCAGGGACAUUAGGGAACGGGUGAGUAACACGUGGGUAAUCAACCCCAUGGCUCCGGGAUAGCCCGAGGAAACUCGGAUUAAUACCGGAUGGCCCAACAGCAUCUUCGGAGGCGGUUGGAAAAGGUAGCUUCGGCCUCCGGCCAAGGACGAGCCCAGCGGCGGAUUAGCUUGUUGGUGAGGUAAUGGACUCAACAAGGCGACGAUCCGUAGCUGGAUCUGAGAGAGACGAUCAGCCACACUGGGACUGAGACACGGCCCAGACUCCAUACGGGAGGCAGCAGUGGGGAAUCUUGCACAAUGGGCGCAAGCCUGAUGCAGCGACGCCGCAGUGAGGGACGAAGGCUUACGGGUAGUAAACCUCUUUCAGGGGGGACGAAGCUCCUCGGGUAAAUAGCCCAGAGGGUAGACGG